rnacentral:rRNA from 1 species
GGGGACGGAGAAGGCUAUGUUGGCCGGGCGACGGUUGUCCCGGUUUAAGCGUGUAGGUGUGUGUUCCAGGUAAAUCCGGUUCACUUUAACACUGAGGCGUGAUGACGAGGCACUACGGUGCUGAAGCAACAAAUGCCCUGCUUCCAGGAAAAGCCUCUAAGCAUCAGGUAACAUCAAAUCGUACCCCAAACCGACACAGGUGGUCAGGUAGAGAAUACCAAGGCGCUUGAGAGAACUCGGGUGAAGGAACUAGGCAAAAUGGUGCCGUAACUUCGGGAGAAGGCACGCUGACACGUAGGUGAAGUGAUUUACUCA